GCUUCUUUCACUUACAGGUACAUGCUGUGGUUUGGUAGGAGGAAUUUGUGUUUGUGACGUUAUCUAGGAAUGAUUUCAGGCUAAGAAAAAUAAAAUGUGAGUGUUUCUAGGAUACUAUUCCUAGGUGAAGCUUGCCUCCUGCUUGGGUUUAUGUAUUCUAUGGAACAAGGAUAUGAAGGUCCAAAAACAUCUCUUAAAUCACUUACGGAUAUUUUCAUAAGGGAACAAAUCUAUAUAAACUUGCAGUAUGCAUGUAACAAGAUCUUGUUCCAGAAGUGUAACAGCUGUUCACAUGUAUUGCUGAUACAUUUUGGAAUGGUCAAUACCUGAGGUCAGAAAACCAGCAGAUGUUCAAUGUAUGCUGUAUUUUGAAGACUUAAACCAAUACACAGGGUGAUGCUCUAUCCACACUGACUUCUGAAGGAGUUCCUUCCAGCACCUUUCUGUUCUGAGGGGUUUUAUGGAAGAACACAGAAACUGUCCUACAAGAUGUAUGCAUAGACAUUUGCCAAGGUAUGUGCAAUUUUACUUUGAAUUCGUGUUCCAAGGUCACUGUCUAGUGCCAAGUGUCUGACAAGUUGCAUGACUUAGAAGCUGAUGUUUCCUUGGAAUGCUUCUACAGCAAAAUCUUACUGAAAAGUAUUUCUGGAGUCUCUCCUGUCUGUGACUGCUGAAUAAAAGGAAGACAAGAUGCAAGAUACUUGUUAGAGGGAUCCAGGUAUGUCUGAGUUUACUGAGGCUGUAGAAACAGGCAUUCCUUUGUAAUUAUUUUUGCUGUAGAAAAUGCCUAUGGAUACUUGAAUUGUGAGAUCAGAUUCGGUUGUUGCCAGGGCCAUGCAUCCUUCAUUUUCCACACUGUUUUGCUGUGUUUCUCACUUUAAUUAUGUUUCUGGUCAACAGAGCUGUAUUUGCUUUUCAUGCACCAGGAGACAAGUCUGUUGUAUUUGCAUCUGGUUCUUAGCAGAAACACACUGACCUCAGGUUCAUACCAGACUGAACAUUUCACAAAAGCUGGGCUUUCUUUACUGCACUCCCCAGUCAGUCCUACCUGUGUGUAGUCCAGAAGGCCUUAGAAUGCUUUUCAGAUUUUGAUGAUGCUUUAUUUAAUUUCUAGUUGAAUAUAUGAAUAUUUUACCAAGUCAAGUUUUUAUUGCUGUGAAAUUGCUUAUUGAAAACCAUAUUUCUUCGUAAUGAGACUUAAUUAAUGGUGUUGCUUUGUUUUUGAAAGAUAGGUUUACAUACUGUAGGUAAAAAAAAAGCUGUUUGCCUUUGAAAUUUAAAGGCAAUAUAAAUGGAAAAUGCAAUUCUUUCUUUAUAGAACAAAGUUUAAGAAAAAAACCAAGAGUGGUUUAGCAGUAAGGUUGUUAUCAAAUUUUAAAUAUACAUUUAAUACUAAUCUAAUGAAACAUUUUGUUCCCUGUCAGAUGCAAAGAGCAUAAAACUGUAAAAAAAAAUUCACAAUCACACUUAAAUGUCAAGUUUUGAAACACUUGGUCUGUUUUUUUCCUGAGUGCAAUUUAUGGAGAGAGAGAGGUGUAAGUAAUGUAAGGUAGGAACACUACUGGAGUUACUCAGCCUGUAAUUCACUUUCUGCAUGUUUGAAUUCGCUGCCAGACUUUUGCAGUCUGUAUUUUGGCACGCGUAAAGCUGCUGGAGUUGGAGGUACUGAGGAAUGUUCCACAAGAUUAGGGAUUAAAGUUGACCCUGUGAACCUCCUUAUACUAGAAAGUAUUACAAAGGAGUGAGUCAGAGCUUUCUGUGAGUUCAAAGAGGAGUGCUAGACAAAUUCCCCAGAUUUAUUUAGGCAAGCCCGAAAUAGAAUAUGAUUUUCUACAAGAAUUCUCUUCAAGGCUGUUUUAAUGCUGUGUACCUGGCAGGAAGGUUAUGUUUAGAUUUACUCUGUGUGUAUCUUAUUAAAGGAUUAAAACCUUUUAUUGCCUGUUCUUUUACUCUGGUGUCUCCGAAUCUUCAGGCAGUAACUGCAUUUAGCUAAGACUUACAAACCUUGGUUUGAAACUAAAAAUGGUCUGUUGGUUUAAGGUUAAUAAAACUCAAAAGUGAUUCUUGGUUUUGAACUGUGAAAAACCACCCCAGAUCUUAACAUCCAGUCCCAUUGCUUCCUCUGAAGGGCCCAGGGUUAACCACACUGUGCUGUGUUCUAACAACUGGUCACUCAUUGCUUUGUGGUGAAACUGAAAACGUCUGUGCUGAACCCAGACAUCUGAGUCCCUGCAGCUUCAUGAUGCUCUGUGCAUUUCAGCAUUGGCUACUGUGGAAGGAAAAGCUUUCAAGCCGUGUUUGCCAGCCCAUCAUGAACAUCAAGAUGUUAAGAUGAACACUGAGGAAGUUUGAAACCUACUUUUAUUGUACUUGUGAUACUCUGAACAGUCUGGGAUUUUUGAGCAGGAAUUCUUGAUGAAAAUGCUUCAUUUUGUGGCCAGCAUUUAGUUUGCUGUGCAGUAUCUAGUCUUACUUCUGCUCUUAACCUUUUAAAGUCUUAAAUCUGAUUUUAAAGGGCUGGGAUUUUUUGCAGAGAAGAGAGUUUCCUAUUUUGAAGGCCUCCUUUCCUCAUUUUUAACAUUUCUAAUUUUAAGUUCUUACAAUCACGUAAGUUUGUUCCACCUCUACUGAAAUUAGUUGCAUUAUGUUGAUGUAAAUGGAAUCAGGUUUAAAUCAUGAGUUGGGGUUCUCAUAGUCUUGAUUAAUUUUGAGUCUUUCAACUGCAAUUUGGCGUUGAAAUGAGCUGUGCAUUUUAUGAAUUUUCUGUGGUGUUAUUCAUAGCUCAGCGCGUUCCAGAAUAGAUUUUUGCAAUGGCAACAGCUAAGCACAACUCCUUUCAUUUCUUUUCAAAUCCAGCUAUUUAAAUUUAAGUAAAAUUACUCUUCAGAAUACAAGUCAAAUUUUAAAAUAGCAUCUUUGUCUGAAAUCACAUUAUCAAGCGUGUGUCUGCCUUUUUGGGUGUCUUGCACAUUCUCUUUCCCCCUACACACGCUCACACCUAUUCCUGCCUGUGUCAGUGGGAAAUUUGCUGAAUUUUACCCAAAUUCAAAGCUGGUUUGGGAUGCUGAGCAGCCCAAGGCUUGCUCUUUCACACUAUGUGCUAACAAGUCAUGCAUGUGCAGAGUGGAGCAGGAGGAGGCUCACAAAAGCUUUCAGGGUCACUUUUAAGGACAUUUGACUGAACAGUUCUCAGUUUUAAUGGUACCCACUUCCUUGGGUGUGAAUGCAACAGUGUGGUAAGUGCUCAGAGCACACCAUCCUCUCUCUAUUGCUGGGACUGCAGCCAGAGGUUAUGAAAUGUAUGUGUUCAUUUUUAAGGGAAAUUUUGCUUUGAAAUUAAGGAAAAACUGUGAUGCAAGGUCUAAAAACCGAUGUAAAAACGUAGAGAUGUGGCAUGAGGACACUGGCACAGUUUGAAUUAAAUCAUAAUUUGCUGUAUAUGGGUAUUACAGCUUAUUUGUGAAAAAGGAUGAAAAAACCACCAGCAAAUGAAUCGUGCAUGAAAAUCUCCACUGAAUUCACCUGGAAGGGAAAUUUCCUGGAGUCACUUUGUCUGAUGAAGAACUGGGUCUUGAACAUGAGAGCAGGAAACACCAGAGCAGCAUCGGGAACACAACGCUGAGAGGGCAGGCACUGGUGUGCCCCCCUGGGAUUCUGCCUCUACGGGAGUGUUCUCAAGGAGAAGGGGCAGAAACACAUCCUGGAAACAUUUGUAUCAACGGGGGAAAGGAACCAAAAAUGUCUUGGAUUCUAGAGGUCAAAUUCUGGCAGAUCUGUAGGUCAGGUUUCCUGCUAUAUGAAUGGACAAAGAGUUGGGCUCUGUCUGACUUCCAGCCAUUCCCACAGUUCUUAGGUACUCCCUCAGCCCCAAAUCCCUGACAUUAUCUUAAAGCGAAUCCAGUAACUUGUCAGUGCACUGGCUCGAAGACGAUGCAGUUGUCCUAGGAGUAUGAGUUCCUAAGACUUAAAAUAGAAACUUUGGGCUUUGUGACCUGAUUCUGAAAGAAAAAUAAAAUCUGGUGAUGUCUGUACUGCUUCA